rnacentral:lncRNA from 1 species
GGUUCACAUCAUAAUGGUUCUUUUGCCAACAGGAGCUGGUAAUCAGGAUGGCAGUGAGGCAGGCACUUGCUUGCAGAAGAACAGGCCUAGUUUUUUAAGAAGCCACAAAAGUGUCUUUGGAUGAUUAGGAUCUAAGGGGCCAACAGCUUUGCAAUAACAGCAUAAAUAUUGUGGGCUGGAUGGACAGGCACCAAAUGGGGACAUUCCAUCCUGCUGUGUGAUGAGAAAGCUGCCACUUUUGAGGCCUUCCAAAACAAAUCAACACUCCAUAUGCCAGAAGGAAAAGCCCAGGAAAGACCUAUUCCAACUGGAGAUGGUGAAUGUCAUUUCUUCAAGAAGCUGAGAUCCAGCUGGUACUGCCAGGAAUACGAAGGGAGAAUGAAACAAAACUGCUCCGCUUAGGGAACUUGGAAAGGAAAUUGAAAAGGCAAGGCACAGGCUGGAAGAAAAUAUUUGAAAAAGAUUUAUGUGAACUUCUUUCUGGAUUAUACAAAAUAUUUUUAGAUAUUCUUACAACUCUAAAAUAAGAUAACUCCUUAAAAAUCUAAAUUCUACCAAAGGAGAGAUAAAGAUGACGAAUACAUUCAAAGAUGCUGAAAAUCACUUAUUUAUUAUUAGGAAGUUACAAGCUAAAGCAUAAUGAGAUACCACUACAACCUACUAAACUGACUAAAAUUAAUCAGACUAACCAGGUGUUGGCAAGAAACAGGG